rnacentral:rRNA from 1 species
GGGAUAACAUUUGGAAACAGAUGCUAAUACCGCAUAAGAUUACAGUACCGCAUGAUACAGUGAUCAAAGGAGCAAUCCGCUGAAAGAUGGGCUCGCGUCCGAUUAGAUAGUUGGUGAGGUAACGGCUCACCAAGUCGACGAUCGGUAGCCGGACUGAGAGGUUGAACGGCCACAUUGGGACUGAGACACGGCCCAGACUCCUACGGGAGGCAGCAGUGGGGAAUAUUGCACAAUGGGCGAAAGCCUGAUGCAGCAACGCCGCGUGAGGGAAGACGGUUUUCGGAUUGUAAACCUCUGUUUUCGGUGACGAAUAAAUGACGGUAACCGAGUAGGAAGCCACGGCUAACUACGUGCCAGCAGCCGCGGUAAUACGUAGGUGGCAAGCGUUAUCCGGAAUUACUGGGUGUAAAGGGAGCGCAGGCGGGAUAGCAAGUCAGUUGUGAAAACUAUGGGCUCAACCCAUAGAUUGCAGUUGAAACUGUUAUUCUUGAGUGGAGUAGAGGCAAGCGGAAUUCCGAGUGUAGCGGUGAAAUGCGUAGAUAUUCGGAGGAACACCAGUGGCGAAGGCGGCUUGCUGGGCUCUAACUGACGCUGAGGCUCGAAAGUGUGGGGAGCAAACAGGAUUAGAUACCCUGGUAGUCCACACUGUAAACGAUGAAGCGAGGUGUGGGGGGUCUGACCCCCUCCGUGCCGGAG